CUACGGGCCGCUGCAGUGAGGAAUUUUGCGCAAUGGGGGCAACCAUGACACAGCAACGCCGCGUGAGUGAUGAAGGCCUUUGGGUCGUAAAACUCUGUCAGCAGGGAAGAAGUUACGUAGGGUUAAUAUCCUUAUGUAUUGACGGUACCUGCAAAGGAAGCACCGGCUAGCUCCGUGCCAGCAGCCGCGGUAAUACGGGGGGUGCAAGCGUUAUUCGGAAUUAUUGGGCGUAAAGGGCGCGUAGGCGGCCUGUCAGGUCAGAUGUGAAAGCCCGGGGCUUAACUCCGGAAGUGCAUUUGAAACCGGCAGGCUUGAGUAUGGGAGAGGAAAGUGGAAUUCCUGGUGUAGAGGUGAAAUUCGUAGAUAUCAGGAGGAACACCAGUGGCGAAGGCGACUUUCUGGACCAAUACUGACGCUGAGGCGCGAAGGCGUGGGUAGCAAACAGGAUUAGAUACCCCCGUAGUC
rnacentral:rRNA from 1 species